UGGCUAACUCCUACGGGAGGCAGCAGGGGGGAAUAUUGGACAAUGGGCGCAAGCCUGAUCCAGCCAUGCCGCGUGAGUGAUGAAGGCCCUAGGGUUGUAAAGCUCUUUUGUGCGGGAAGAUAAUGACGGUACCGCAAGAAUAAGCCCCGGCUAACUUCGUGCCAGCAGCCGCGGUAAUACGAAGGGGGCUAGCGUUGCUCGGAAUCACUGGGCGUAAAGAGCACGUAGGCGGAUCUUUAAGUCAGGGGUGAAAUCCCGAGGCUCAACCUCGGAACUGCCUUUGAUACUGGGGAUCUCGAGUCCGGGAGAGGUGAGUGGAACUGCGAGUGUAGAGGUGAAAUUCGUAGAUAUUCGCAAGAACACCAGUGGCGAAGGCGGCUCACUGGCCCGGAACUGACGCUGAGGUGCGAAAGCGUGGGGAGCAAACAGGAUUAGAAACCCCUGUAGUCCAGCUGG
rnacentral:rRNA from 1 species